rnacentral:rRNA from 1 species
UACGGAGGGUGCGAGCGUUAUCCGGAAUUACUGGGUUUAAAGGGUGCGUAGGUGGCUUUGUAAGUCAGGAGUGAAAGUUUGCGGCUCAACCGUAAAAUUGCUUCUGAUACUGCAUCGCUAGAAUCAGGAUGAGGUCAGCGGAAUGUGGCAUGUAGCGGUGAAAUGCAUAGAUAUGCCAUAGAACACCAAUUGCGAAGGCAGCUGGCUAGACCUGUAUUGACGCUGAGGCACGAAAGCGUGGGGAGCGAACAGG